GGCGUCGUACCCAAGUGGUAAGGGACUGGUCUGCAAAACCAUCAUGCCUCAGUUCGAUUCUGAGCGACGCCU
rnacentral:tRNA from 1 species